AGCUGGCCUAGAUGCACUGCUCUGGGCUAUACCAGUCUGCCUUUUUUCAGAUCCUGCAUUUUCUGUUCUGUAUGCUAGUGAGAAGGUCGUGCUUACCUUAAGCCUAAAGCUUGGCAUGACAUCAUUGUAAAGCAAGAUUGCUAUCAAGAGCAGCAUUUAUCACAAGGAACAUUUCAGUCUCAUUUAAAAAGACUCAAAGCAACUGAAGUAUCUAAGCUAAUUUACACAAGUCUCCAAGAAUGGAAAACAAGCCUCCGGCAUAGGCUGUAAUCUGCUUCUAAAG